rnacentral:misc_RNA from 1 species
ACAGCCUCGAGGCUUCCCUCCCGGCACUGCUAGUGAUUAGUGUUGCGGUCCAAAGCUGUGCAAGUGUGCGCGUGGAGCUCCGUUUUGCCCAUGUGGUUUUCAGUGCUUUCAUGAAAAUCAAAUCUGACCCCUAUGAUACUAAUUAUGAGAACCAAUUCAUUUAGCCACAAAGAUCAGGAAGGUCAAAGCUAAAAGAAAGAAAAAAAAAAAAAAGCCACGCCCCCCAAAAUAGGAAAAAAGGGGGGGAAACACCAAAUCAGAAAAGCAAGUUUCCUGUGUUGUGAUUGACGACCCGGAAGUGCUUACCACCUGACCUCUCCUGACCCGGCGCUGACCUCCCGAACCGCCACCCGUCGCCACCUCCUCCGUCGACGCCUCCUCCGUAACUCGCCAGGAUGUACCGACAGGUGAAGCUCCCGAAGCCGAAGCCUCCCGCCGACUUCGCCGACUGCUUCGACAUCGACUCGCCGCAGCCGACCUUCGGGGACAACGUGGCCUCGUGGUUUAACGACGCCGUGCACCACGCUCGCAUCAAGCAGCAGGCGCGGAAAGGUUCGGCUGACUCGAACUAUUCCCAGCCGUCCUCGGACCUAUCGCUGGACGAGGAGAGAGAGAACCUACGCCGCGAGACCGAACGACAGGCGCUCUCCCAGCUUGAGAAGGCCAGGGGGCACCAUCGGGACAGCGGGGUCAGGCGCAGAACGGAGGGCCAGGCAUUCGUCACUCUUCAGGCAGCCAGGACUAAACCCGUGGCGUUCUCCGUGCGUACCAAUGUGGCCUACGAUGGUUCUCUGGAUGACGACUCGCCAGUGCAUGGGUCGGCCAUCUCUUUCGAUGUCAAGGACUUCCUCCACAUUAAGGAGAAGUAUGACAACAACUGGUGGAUUGGGCGUCUGGUGAAGGAAGGCGCAGAUGUUGGGUUCAUCCCGUCACCCGUUAAGCUCGAGAACCUGCGCCUACAGCAGACCCAACAGAAGAACUCCAAGCUCUACCCCAAAAACUCGUCAUCGGGAAUUGACCUCGACAACGGAUUAGACUCCAAUGUGGGUGACGACUCCGAUUCCCUGGGCAACGCCAAGGGGAAGAGUUCCAUCACAACCCCACCAGCCAAGGAGAAGCGGAAGCCCUUCUUUAAGAAACAGGAGAACAUUCCUCCGUACGAUGUCGUGCCUUCCAUGCGCCCGCUAGUGCUUGUUGGCCCAUCCCUCAAAGGGUAUGAGGUCACAGACAUGAUGCAGAAGGCGCUGUUUGAUUACAUUAAGCACAGAUUUGAGGGGAAGGUAAUCAUUACACGGGUGAGUGCUGAUAUCUCUCUUGCAAAACGGAGUCUCCUAAACAACCCAAACAAACGUGCUCUUAUGGAACGAUCCAACUCCAGAUCUUCUUGUAUAGCAGAAGUUCAGGCUGAAAUAGAACGAAUAUUUGAACUAGCAAGAACUCUACAGUUAGUGGUGCUCGAUUGUGACACUAUUAACCACCCCUCUCAACUUGCUAAGACAUCUCUUGCACCUAUUCUUGUAUACCUCAAGAUCUCGUCUCCUAAGGUACUGCAGCGUUUAAUAAAGUCACGGGGAAAAUCUCAGAGUCGCAACUUGAGUGUUCAGAUGGUUGCAGCAGAAAAAUUAGCCCAGUGUCCACCAGAGAUGUUUGAUGUGAUUCUUGAUGAAAAUCAGCUUGAGGACGCAUGUGAACACAUAGCAGAGUAUCUCGAUGCCUACUGGCAAGCAACGCACCCUCCGUUACCUCCACCCCAGAUUCAGAGACCAAUUCCAUCACCACAUACAAGUCCGCGGUCUAACCAUGCGCAAGGAAGUCUCAUGCGGACUAAUUCUACGCCUCCAGGUCCGCCCGGGUCCGUGGCUCGUGAGCCCGGCUACCCUCGCUAUCCGGAUGAGAGAGGUAAUGCUCCGGGAAGCAACCCAUCCCAGUAGUUAGUGUGGCCCAUCUGGCUUGGCCAUCGCUCGCCUCUUGGCGGACGUGGCCAGCCAGGGUGGCCCACCUUCCACGACAGCACCACAUCAGCUGUGUACCAUCGUGGAGGCCCAACCGGACAUGGGGGGCCGCGAGCGCUCCCGUCCCGUGACCCUAGAGACCUGCGAGACCCACGCGAUAGAGACCUACGCGAUGAUGAGUAUGGUGACAGGCUUCCCCCACAAGACCCUG